UACGAAGGGGGCUAGCGUUGCUCGGAAUCACUGGGCGUAAAGCGCACGUAGGCGGAUUGUUAAGUCAGGGGUGAAAUCCCGGAGCUCAACUCCAGAACUGCCUUUGAUACUGAGGAUCUUGGAGUACGGGAGAGGUGAGUGGAACUGCGAGUGUAGAGGUGAAAUUCGUAGAUAUUCGCAAGAACACCAGUGGCGAAGGCGACUCACUGGCCCGUAACUGACGCUGAGGCACGAAAGCGUGGGGAGCAAACAGG
rnacentral:rRNA from 1 species